GGUUAAGCGACUAAGCGUACACGGUGGAUGCCUAGGCAGUCAGAGGCGAUGAAGGGCGUGCUAAUCUGCGAAAAGCGUCGGUAAGCUGAUAUGAAGCGUUAUAACCGACGAUACCCGAAUGGGGAAACCCAGUGCAAUACGUUGCACUAUCGUUAGAUGAAUACAUAGUCUAACGAGGCGAACCGGGGGAACUGAAACAUCUAAGUACCCCGAGGAAAAGAAAUCAACCGAGAUUCCCCCAGUAGCGGCGAGCGAACGGGGAGGAGCCCAGAGUCUGAAUCAGUUUGUGUGUUAGUGGAAGCGUCUGGAAAGUCGCACGGUACAGGGUGAUAGUCCCGUACACCAAAAUGCACAGGCUGUGAACUCGAUGAGUAGGGCGGGACACGUGACAUCCUGUCUGAAUAUGGGGGGACCAUCCUCCAAGGCUAAAUACUCCUGACUGACCGAUAGUGAACCAGUACCGUGAGGGAAAGGCGAAAAGAACCCCGGCGAGGGGAGUGAAAUAGAACCUGAAACCGUGUACGUACAAGCAGUGGGAGCACCUUCGUGGUGUGACUGCGUACCUUUUGUAUAAUGGGUCAGCGACUUAUAUUUUGUAGCAAGGUUAACCGAAUAGGGGAGCCGUAGGGAAACCGAGUCUUAACUGGGCGUCUAGUUGCAAGGUAUAGACCCGAAACCCGGUGAUCUAGCCAUGGGCAGGUUGAAGGUUGGGUAACACUAACUGGAGGACCGAACCGACUAAUGUUGAAAAAUUAGCGGAUGACUUGUGGCUGGGGGUGAAAGGCCAAUCAAACCGGGAGAUAGCUGGUUCUCCCCGAAAGCUAUUUAGUAGCGCCUCGUGAACUCAUCUUCGGGGGUAGAGCACUGUUUCGGCUAGGGGGCCAUCCCGGCUUACCAAACCGAUGCAAACUCCGAAUACCGAAGAAUGUUAUCACGGGAGACACACGGCGGGUGCUAACGUCCGUCGUGAAGAGGGAAACAACCCAGACCGCCAGCUAAGGUCCCAAAGUCAUGGUUAAGUGGGAAACGAUGUGGGAAGGCACAGACAGCCAGGAUGUUGGCUUAGAAGCAGCCAUCAUUUAAAGAAAGCGUAAUAGCUCACUGGUCGAGUCGGCCUGCGCGGAAGAUGUAACGGGGCUAAACCAUGCACCGAAGCUGCGGCAGCGACACUUAGGUGUUGUUGGGUAGGGGAGCGUUCUGUAAGCCGUUGAAGGUGACCUGUGAGGGUUGCUGGAGGUAUCAGAAGUGCGAAUGCUGACAUAAGUAACGAUAAUGCGGGUGAAAAACCCGCACGCCGGAAGACCAAGGGUUCCUGUCCAACGUUAAUCGGGGCAGGGUGAGUCGACCCCUAAGGCGAGGCUGAAAAGCGUAGUCGAUGGGAAACAGGUUAAUAUUCCUGUACUUGGUGUUACUGCGAAGGGGGGACGGAGAAGGCUAGGCUGGCCGGGCGACGGUUGUCCCGGUUUAAGCGUGUAGGGGGAGUGACCAGGUAAAUCCGGUUGCUUAUCAACCCUGAGGCGUGAUGACGAUGCACCACGGUGCAGAAGCAGUUGAUGCCAUGCUUCCAGGAAAAGCCUCUAAGCAUCAGGUAACAUUAAAUCGUACCCCAAACCGACACAGGUGGUCAGGUAGAGAAUACUCAGGCGCUUGAGAGAACUCGGGUGAAGGAACUAGGCAAAAUGGUGCCGUAACUUCGGGAGAAGGCACGCUGGCGUUAGGUGAAAGGACUAGCUCCUGGAGCUGAAGCCAGUCGCAGAUACCAGCUGGCUGCAACUGUUUAAUAAAAACACAGCACUGUGCAAACACGAAAGUGGACGUAUACGGUGUGACGCCUGCCCGGUGCUGGAAGGUUAAUUGAUGGGGUCAGCCGCAAGGCGAAGCUCUUGAUCGAAGCCCCAGUAAACGGCGGCCGUAACUAUAACGGUCCUAAGGUAGCGAAAUUCCUUGUCGGGUAAGUUCCGACCUGCACGAAUGGCGUAAUGAUGGCCAGGCUGUCUCCACCCGAGACUCAGUGAAAUUGAACUCGCUGUGAAGAUGCAGUGUACCCGCGGCAAGACGGAAAGACCCCGUGAACCUUUACUAUAGCUUGACACUGAACAUUGAGCCUUGAUGUGUAGGAUAGGUGGGAGGCCUUGAAGUGUGGACGCCAGUCUGCAUGGAGCCAACCUUGAAAUACCACCCUUUAAUGUUUGAUGUUCUAACUCGGCCCCAUGAUCUGGGGUGAGGACAGUGUCUGGUGGGUAGUUUGACUGGGGCGGUCUCCUCCCAAAGAGUAACGGAGGAGCACGAAGGUUAGCUAAUCACGGUCGGACAUCGUGAGGUUAGUGCAAAGGCAUAAGCUAGCUUGACUGCGAGAGUGACGGCUCGAGCAGGUACGAAAGUAGGUCUUAGUGAUCCGGUGGUUCUGAAUGGAAGGGCCAUCGCUCAACGGAUAAAAGGUACUCCGGGGAUAACAGGCUGAUACCGCCCAAGAGUUCAUAUCGACGGCGGUGUUUGGCACCUCGAUGUCGGCUCAUCACAUCCUGGGGCUGAAGUAGGUCCCAAGGGUAUGGCUGUUCGCCAUUUAAAGUGGUACGCGAGCUGGGUUUAGAACGUCGUGAGACAGUUCGGUCCCUAUCUGCCGUGGGCGUUGGAAGAUUGAGAGGGGCUGCUCCUAGUACGAGAGGACCGGAGUGGACGAAUCACUGGUGUUCGGGUUGUCAUGCCAAUGGCAUUGCCCGGUAGCUAAAUUCGGAAGAGAUAACCGCUGAAAGCAUCUAAGCGGGAAACUUGCCUCGAGAUGAGUCUUCCCUGGGGCUUAAAGCCCCCUGAAGGAACGUUAAAGACUAUGACGUUGAUAGGCUGGGUGUGUAAGUGCAGCGAUGUAUUGAGCUAACCAGUACUAAUGAUCCGUGAGGCUUAACCUU
rnacentral:rRNA from 1 species